rnacentral:tRNA from 1 species
GUCUCAGUAGCACAGUGGUUAGUGCACAGCCCUGGAUAGGUUGAGACGCGGGUUCGACCUGAGAUG